UACGUAGGGUGCGAGCGUUAAUCGGAAUUACUGGGCGUAAAGCGUGCGCAGGCGGUUUGCUAAGACCGAUGUGAAAUCCCCGGGCUUAACCUGGGAACUGCAUUGGUGACUGGCAGGCUUUGAGUGUGGCAGAGGGAGGUAGAAUUCCACGUGUAGCAGUGAAAUGCGUAGAGAUGUGGAGGAAUACCGAUGGCGAAGGCAGCCCCCUGGGUCAAGAUUGACGCUCAUGCACGAAAGCGUGGGGAGCAAACAGG
rnacentral:rRNA from 1 species